rnacentral:lncRNA from 1 species
AGCGCCGUGACGGUGGUGAGGCGUCAGAUUUCGGCCGGGCGCAGUAUCUCUGCAGCGGCAGCUCGCUGUCUGUUCGCUUCUCGCUCAUUCGACACACUGAUCUGCGCCUGGCAGAGGAAGCAGGUCCUCUUCCGGUGGAGUCCGCCAUGUUUGUACAGUAGCCCAGAGUGGACAAAAACACUGGAUCUAGAGCGACUUUCAUGUUUUUCACAAGUCCUGCAACCAGUUUCUCUUCCACAGCCCGAUCUCAUUCCCAGACGGGAGGAGGUUGUUGACAGAUGGAUGUCAAGGUUCUGUUCGUAACCUCGGGCCGUGGAUGCUGCUGACGCUGCCUUAUACCAGCUGCCACUUGGCAUUAUGGGUUUCAAAUGGAACCUGGUUUCGUCAGCUGAGACUUCGUUACUUUGACCAUCUGCUGCAGGCAAACGUAACUGGUCUGGCCACCUGUGAGAAUCCUGCAACAUCCCUGCAACUGAUGCCACCGUUGGUGACUUGCAGAACAACAGAUGUCACUGUGAAACUGCCUCUUGGAACGUCGGGCGCCCGUGGUGGUGGUCGCCGUGGGGGUCGUCGUCGGGGCAUCAGACGUGUCAGCCAGUGGUGGGGGCGCCCGUGGUGGUGGUCGUCGUCGUGGCGCCCGUGGUGCUGCUGGUGGUGGUCGUCGUCGCCGGGGCGCCCGUGGUGCUGCUGGUGGUCGUCGUCGGGGCGCAAGUGGUGGUGGUGGUGGUGGUGGUCGUCGUCGUCGCGCAAGUGGUGGUGGUGCUGGUACUGGUGGUAGUCGUCGGGGCACCAGGGGUGUCGAUUCCGGUAUACGGCCCUUCAGAAAUUUCAUCAAAUCCCCACAACUCAAAGAUUUCUGUGUCAGCAUCAGUCACUUCGUCAUUCCGGAACCCACUGGGCUCCGUCGGUUCCUGGAUGACGGGCUCCACUAGAACUUGCUCAAAGUCCCAAAGCUCCCACAGGUUGGGGUUUUGGAGAGCUCUUGGGUGUCGAUCCCGCCUAGUUUGUGUUGCUGCAGUGGAACAAGCUGCCAGCAUCGUGGAUGUUUU